GCUACUAAGUCCGCCGAGUUAACUUUGUUUGACCGUGAACCUACUCUUUCUUUUGAAUUCUUACCGUGCUGUUUUAUUUUAACGUAAAGUACUUCGACUUUAAUCUUUGAUAUUUUCAAACAAUCGGGUCUAAUCGUUCCCUCCUUCCGAUGAAGGACUACCCCCUCGUUUCGAACAAGUCUGGUAACGUGCAUUAUGCCUACGAGAAAGAUUCGACCCACGUCUAUGUCUGGGUUUUCUACUGUGCAUUAAGAAACAAUAGUC
rnacentral:rRNA from 1 species